AGCGAACGCUGGCGGCAGGCUUAACACAUGCAAGUCGAGCGGGCACUUUCGGGUGUCAGCGGCGGACGGGUGAGUAACGCGUGGGAACGUGCCCUCUGGUUCGGAAUAACUCAGGGAAACCUGAGCUAAUACCGGAUACGCCCUUUUGGGGAAAGGCUUGCUGCCGGAGGAUCGGCCCGCGUCUGAUUAGCUAGUUGGUGAGGUAACGGCUCACCAAGGCGACGAUCAGUAGCUGGUCUGAGAGGAUGAUCAGCCACACUGGGACUGAGACACGGCCCAGACUCCUACGGGAGGCAGCAGUGGGGAAUAUUGGACAAUGGGCGCAAGCCUGAUCCAGCCAUGCGGCGUGAGUGAUGAAGGCCUUAGGGUUGUAAAGCUCUUUUAUCCGGGACGAUAAUGACGGUACCGGAGGAAUAAGCCCCGGCUAACUUCGUG
rnacentral:rRNA from 1 species